UCAGGAUGAACGCUGGCGGCGUGCAUAACACAUUCAAGUCGAACGGUGAAGCGCUUCGGGCGCGGAGCAGUGGCGGACGGGUGAGUAACGCGUGAGCAACCUGCCGUACAGAGGGGGAUAACACAGGGAAACUUGUGCUAAUACCGCAUAACGCACGGAUAUCGCAUGGUGACCGUGCCAAAGAGAAAUUGCUGUACGAUGGGCUCGCGUAUGAUUAGACAGUUGGCGGGUAACGGCCCACCAAAUCAACGAUCAUUAGCCGAACUGAGAGGUUGAACGGCCACAUUGGAACUGAGAAACGGUCCAGACUCCUACGGGAGGCAGCAGUGGGGAAUAUUGGGCAAUGGGCGAAAGCCUGACCCAAGCGACGCCGCGUGAGGGAAGAAGGUCUUCGGAUUGUAAACCUCUUUCAGCAGGGAAGAAGGAAGUGACGGUACCUGCAGAAGAAGUCACGGCUAACUACGUGCCAGCAGCCGC
rnacentral:rRNA from 1 species